rnacentral:tRNA from 1 species
AAGGGAGACCUAAUUCGGGUAGAAGACGAAAAAAUAGUAGUCGAAACCAAGAAUCAAUCCCAAAAGGUCGGAACGAGGUAUGUGGCUUUCAAACCAGGUUCUGGGUUCACAAAAGACCUGAAUCAGGAACAAGGGCUAUUAGCUCAGGUGGUUAGAGCGCACCCCUGAUAAGGGUGAGGUCCCUGGUUCGAGUCCAGGAUGGCCCACCUGCACAGGUGGCAAAAACAAGAGAAACGAGGAAUCAGCACCUUAUCUUACUUACAUAGUAAGAGAGAAUGCUGGCUCUGAGUAAAGAGUCCAGAGGAACCUUGAAAACUGCAUAGAGCUAGGUGAAAAAGCCAAAAAAGAAGACCGCAA